ACCGCAUCGGCUCGAUCCUUCACCAUACACUGAGAGCUUCUACACAUACGCCAUUGAACCCAAAGAAACACUUCAAAGAGUAGAAUCUGGAUCUCUUUCUCCGAUCCCGAUCUCUCCAGUACAUUUGGUCUCGUUAGAUAGGUAGGCUGAGUCUCUCGAUCCUCUUCCUCCUUCCCUUUAAGUUUCAAACUGUUCUACGUAUUAGCUCUUAAGUUUUAAUAGGUAGUUUUGCUGACUUGCGAUUCAAUGAGAUCUGAAUUGUAUGGUUUUGAAUUUGCAGCUCUACAUGCUUCGUGUGUGUAUUGGUGUUUGAGGACGAGUUAUGGGGUAUCAGAAUCACCAUCCAUCGGGAAGCAGCAACUCGUUCCAUGGAGGAGAGUUCAACAAACCGUCCAAAGUUGCUGUGGCGUCUAUGAUCAACUCCGAGAUCGGCGCAGUUUUGGCUGUGAUGAGGAGGAACGUGCGUUGGGGUGUCCGCUACAUUGCGGAUGAUGAUCAGUUGGAGCAUUCCCUUAUCCAUUCUUUGAAAGAAUUGCGUAAGCAGAUAUUCUCAUGGCAGAGCAAUUGGCAAAACGUUGACCCCAAGCUGUACAUACAGCCGUUUCUGGAUGUUAUACUCUCUGAUGAAACCGGGGCUCCCAUCACCGGCGUUGCUUUGUCCUCUGUCUACAAGAUCUUGACCCUUGAUGUUUUCACGCUUGACACCGUGAAUGUGGGAGAGGCGAUGCAUAUCAUAGUGGAUGCUGUGAAAAGCUGCCGUUUUGAGGUGACUGAUCCUGCCUCCGAGGAAGUGGUUUUGAUGAAGAUACUUCAGGUUCUUCUGGCUUGUAUAAAGUGUAAGGCGGCUAGUGGGUUGAGUAAUCAGGAUAUUUGCACCAUCGUCAACACUUGUUUGCGUGUUGUUCAUCAGUCUAGCUCCAAAAGUGAGUUGUUGCAGCGUAUAGCACGCCACACGAUGCAUGAGUUGGUUAGAUGCAUCUUCUCUCAGCUUCCUUGUAUCGGCCCGCUGGCUAAUGAAAGCGAAUUACCCGUCGGCGAUAAGGUGAUUCAAUUUGACCUUCCUUGCUAGAAUUUUUAUAUGUUUGUUCUAUAGAUAGAAUAUUUAACAUGUUUCAGUGACGCCAAAAGUCAUAUCGUAUUAUGAUUUAUCUGCUAUGCGUAUUGAUUGAUUGAAGAUGCCUCAUGACUAAGUUUAAUGGUGAAUUGGGUUGACCAUCUGUUUGUUUUCCACAAAUUUCUCACGGUAUUCUUUCUUGUCUAGGUGGGAACAGUGGAUUGGGAUCAGAAUUCUGGAGAAAACACAGUUGAAAAUGGAAGUAUUGAUACUCUCGGCGUUGAGAAAGAUUCUCCAAGUUCUGAGAUGGUUAUUCCAGAAACAGUAGUCAAAAAAGAUGAAAAGGGAGCUGAGGUCAGUGAUGACUUAAAUGUUGCUGCGAAUGGUGAAAAUGCAAUGUUGGCGCCUUUUGGUAUUCCAUGCAUGGUAGAGAUUUUUCAUUUCCUGUGUACUCUGUUGAAUAUUGGAGAAAACAGUGAAGUCAAUUCCAGAUCUAACCCUAUAGCAUUUGAUGAAGACGUUCCUCUUUUCGCUCUGGGUUUAAUUAAUUCUGCUAUAGAACUUGGAGGCUCUUCUUUCCGUGAGCACCCAAAAUUGUUGAGUUUGAUUCAGGAUGAGUUAUUCUGUAACUUGAUGCAGUUUGGUAUGUCGAUGAGCCCUCUGAUUCUUUCUACAGUUUGCAGCAUCGUUCUUAAUCUCUACCUGACUCUCCGUACUGAACUUAAGGUACAGCUUGAAGCUUUCUUCUCAUGCGUACUUCUGAGGAUUGCACAGAGCAAGCAUGGCUCUUCUUACCAGCAACAGGAGGUUGCUAUGGAAGCUCUGGUUGAUUUUUGCAGACAGCAUACUUUCAUGGCUGAAAUGUUUGCGAAUUUCGAUUGUGAUAUAACAUGCAGUAAUGUGUUCGAAGAUGUUUCAAAUUUGCUAUCAAAGAGUGCCUUCCCAGUUAACGGGCCUUUAUCUGCUAUGCACAUAAUUGCAUUGGAUGGGUUAAUCUCCAUGGUUCAGGGAAUGGCUGAAAGGGUUGGUGAGGAAUUGCCGGGUUCAAAUGUUUCGACACAUGAAGAAGGAUACGAAGCAUUUUGGACAGUGAGAUGUGAGAACUACGGAGAUCCUAAUUUAUGGGUUCCCUUUGUCCGAAAGUCAAAGCACAUCAAGAAAAAGCUGAUGGUUGGUGCUGAUCAUUUUAACAGUGAUCCUAAAAAAGGUCUGCAGCAACUCCAAGCGAUGCACUUGUUACCUGAAGAACUUGAUCCAAAGAGUGUGGCAUGUUUCUUCAGGUAUACAUGUGGGAUAGAUAAGAACCUUAUAGGAGAUUUCUUGGGAAAUCAUGACCAGUUCUGUGUUCAGGUUCUUCAUGAGUUUGCCAAGACGUUUGACUUCCAGAAUAUGAAUCUUGAUAACGCCCUGCGUCUCUUUGUGGGGACAUUUAGAUUGCCUGGCGAGUCGCAGAAGAUACAGAGGGUGCUUGAAGCGUUUUCUGAGAGAUACUAUGAGCAGUCACCACAGAUAUUGAUUGAUAAAGACGCUGCCCUCUUGUUAUCUUAUUCGAUUAUCUUGCUGAACACAGAUCACCACAACACUCAGGUCAAGAAAAAGAUGACUGAAGAAGAUUUCAUCCGUAACAACAGGUGCAUAAAUGGAGGCGCAGAUCUUCCCAGGGAAUACUUAUCUGAGCUUUAUCAUUCAAUCUGCGACAGUGAGAUUCAGAUGAUCCCAGAUCAAGGAACCGGUUUCCAAAUGAUGACCUCCAGUCGGUGGAUUAGUGUGAUUUACAAGUCCAAAGAAACCAGUCCCUAUAUCAUAUGUGACAGCGCAUCGUAUCUGGACCGUGACAUGUUUCAUAUCGUGUCCGGUCCCACUAUUGCUGCUACAUCUGUGGUUUUUGAGCAAGCAGAGCAAGAAGAUGUUCUGCAGAGAUGUGUUGAUGGGUUAUUGGCCAUUGCAAAACUUUCAGCGUAUUACCAUUUGAAUAGUGUAUUGGAUGAUCUGGUCGUGUCUCUCUGCAAAUUCACGCCAUUCUUCGCGUCGUUAUCUGUUGAUGAAGCUGUUCUUGCUAUAGGAGAAGAUGCCAGAGCAAGAAUGGCUACUGAAAGUGUGUUCUUGAUCGCAAACAAAUACGGCGACUAUAUCACUUCGGGAUGGAAAAACGUACUGGAAUGUGUCUUGAGCCUCCACAAACUCCAGAUUUUACCAGCUCAUAUAGCUAGUGAUGCUGCGGAUGACCCAGAGGAAGAAAGACCUUUAGCAAAUCCCUUAUCAGUAGUAUCACAGGUACAACCCUCAGAGACCCCUCGAAAAUCCUCUAGUUUUAUCGGUCGGUUUAGCCAGCUUUUGUCCUUUGACAUGGAGGAGACGAAGCCAUUAUUACCUACCGAGGAAGAACUUGCAGCCUAUAAGCACGCUCGUGGUAUAGUGAAAGAUUGUCAUAUUGAUAGCAUAUUCUCAGACAGCACGUUUCUCCAAGCCGAGUCCCUGCAACAGCUAGUAAACUCUCUCAUAAAGGCAGCCGCGAAAGAUAAAGAUAGUGCUGUCUUUUGCCUGGAGCUUUUAAUUGCAGUAACUCUAAACAACCGAGACAGAAUCCUACUGAUCUGGCAAACUGUUUACGAGCACAUCUCGGGUAUAGUUCAAUCAACGACGACACCAUGCCCGCUUGUGGAAAAGGCUGUGUUUGGUGUGUUGAAGAUUUGUCAGAGAUUAUUGCCUUACAAGGAGAAUCUAACAGAUGAGCUUCUGAAAUUACUCCAACUGGUUCUCAAACUUGAUGCAAGAGUGGCUGAUGCAUACUGUGAGCCCAUAACGCAAGAAGUAGCCCGUCUUGUAAAAGCGAAUGCAUCUCACGUCAGAUCUCAUGUUGGUUGGAGAACAAUCAUAUCUCUGAUAUCAAUCACAGCUCGACAUCCAGAAGCUUCUGAUGCUGGAUUCGAAGCUCUCCGGUUUAUAAUGUCAGAAGGAGCUCACUUGUUGCUAGCAAACUACAUUCUUUGUUCGGAUGCAGCUAGGCAGUUUGCUGAAUCCCGUGUCGGGGAAAUCGAUCGGUCUAUCUCAGCCAUCGACUUAAUGUCAAACUCUGUGUUCUGUCUUGCUAGGUGGUCUCAAGAGGCGAAAAACUCGGUGGGAGAAGAUGAAGCUAUGAGGAAACUAAGUCAAGACGUCGGAGAGAUGUGGCUCAGGCUUGUGAACAACCUCAAAAGGGUUUGUCUUGAUCAACGCGACCAAGUGAGAAACCACGCCAUCUCAAUGCUACAGAGAUCAAUAGCCGGUGCAGACGGAAUCAUGUUACCACAACCAAUAUGGUUCCAAUGCUUCGACGCCGCAAUCUUCCCGUUGCUAGACGAACUGCUCGCUGUUUCGAUCGAGAAUUCAAGAAAGACAUUCAAGAAAACAGUUGAAGAAACGCUUGUGCUCGCCACAAAGCUCAUGUCAAAGGCCUUUCUUCAAGCUCUCCAAGACAUCUCGCAGCAACCAUCGUUCUGCAGACUCUGGCUUGGUGUAUUGGACCGUAUGGAGACUUACAUGUCGACCAAGUUCAGAGGGAAACGCAGCGAGAAAGUCCAUGAACUCAUACCGGAACUGCUGAAGAACACGUUGCUGGUGAUGAAGACGACGGGUGUUUUACUACCAGGUGAUGAUAUUGGAAGUGAUAGUUUCUGGCAACUGACUUGGCUUCAUGUCAAGAAGAUAUCUCCUUCUCUGCAAUCUGAAGUGUUCCCUCAAGAGGAGCUUGAUCAGUUUCAGAGACGAAACGCUAAGCCUGAGGAUACUCCGGUGGUACCGGAAAACUAAGACUCAGAACGGUGGUGGUGGAGUAGUAAGGAUUUGUUUUUAUACAGAAAAGCAUUAUUGAGAAGUUUUUUUUAGAAACUAUAUCGAAAUAUUAUAUCUUUGCAGUAUAGCCUUUUGUUUGAAUAUAGUACUUUUGAGCUUUUGGAUUUUUAUGGAAUGUCACGUUGGAGUUAUGGCUUUGAUUGGAGAUUUGCUUGGAGGCGAUUCAGGAAAGCGUUGUCACAAGUUGCACAAAUCGGCUUUUGAGUUUACCAAUAGAACGGACAGAUAAAAUGAACAGUUGAACUGAGUGAGCUUUUCAGGGUGCCGCCAACCCAUUCAUGUAUUUUUCAUUCUGAAACAGAAUAAUGUCAAAAUAGGGUUGAGCUUUUCUAAAAAAUUAUUACUUUACCUUUAUUUCUAAAUACAAAUUAAAAUAUUCUCAUUAAAUUAGUUUUUUAAAAAAUAAUUUUAUUUUAUUCUAAUGGAAAAAUUACAAAAGUAUAAUAUUUUUAAUGAAAAUUACAGUAAUCAACUUUACUAAACAAAAACAAAGAUAGGAUAAUGUUAAAGAUAUGCAUGUCAAAUUCAAAGACAAUAAUUUUAUAUAGCUUCACAAAUUAGAGUUGUUUAUAUUAUAGUUGUAUAUUCACUUCAAUUUGGAUAUUAUCAUGUGUAAGUAGUAGGAUAAAUUUUCCACUACAAGCUACCUACCACAAUUACAAAAGCUUAAUAAUUUUCAAUUAUUUAAAAAAGCACAUAGAUUAUAGAAAAUUUGGAAUCUCCUCACAAAUAUUUUCUUGAACAUACCUCUGUCUCUCUAUCUUAAUAUAUUCUCAUAGAUCAUUUGAGUCCAAAUUUUGGAUCUUGCAAUUUAAAAAUUAAUUAUUAUUUUCUUUGUUUUUAAAAAAUUUACUGUUUCAUUUCUUAUAAGUUAUUUAUAUAAUAUCACCAUUAUAUUUCAACAUAAUAAAAACUCGUGGUUCCAUAUUUUCGCCGGAAACCAACUAGCGCAAUGGACCAACUAGGGGUGGGCGUUCGGGUAUCCGGGUUCGGAUCGGAUAUUUCGGUAUAGAGGUGUAGAACGUCAGAGUAUUUCUGUACUUCGGGUCGGGUUCGGAUAUUUUUAGUUUGGGUUCAGUUAUUGCAGAUCGGUUUCCGAUAUUUAGAUUUUGAAAAAAACAAAAUUAAAUUUUCAUUUCUCAAAUUUCUUGUAUUUAAAAAUAUAACUUUCACUUAACUAAUUUUUUAUUUUUAAUAAAUUGAAUGGUUAAUAGAUUUGGACAUAACAAUUUGAAACUAAAAAAACAUUAAUUUGGUAUUGUUUUUAAAUUUUGGAUGUAACUUUUUGUUAAUUUUUGAAAUAAAAAAUUUGACAUGCAUUUUAAGUGAGUAGCAAAACUUUUUCUCCGUAAUUUUAUGUAUGUCAUAUGAAUUUAAAAUAUGUGUAGUAUCAAUAUAAAUAUUUUAUAUAAAAUGAGAGAUGUAAACUAGAUUCAGAUUUCAGUUCGGGUUUCGGUUCAGAUUUUGGUUCGGGUUUUUCGGAUUGGAUUGGGUUCGGAUGUCACUUCAGAUAUUGAAUAAAGUGUCCACCCUUGACCAACACAACAUUGGUGGUUAAAACUCAUAGUUUACCAAAAAAAUAAUCAAAACUCGUUUAGAUGCUUUGUAUUUAGCUAAUUGUUUUAAAACUCAGUUUUUCUAACCACCAUAAACUAUUCAAACUAUUUUAACAACUUUUCUAAAAAAAGACUAUAAAAUUAUUAUUAAUUUUGUUAAAAAAUUUUAAUCUACUAGUUGAUCAAUGAUUCAUAAAAAAAUUUAAAUUUUGAUUUCAAGAUUUAUAGAAAUUAACGGAUUUAAAAAAUUAAAUAAAAAUCAUAUAAAUAGUUUCAUCUAAGUUUAAAAUAUUGAAAAAUCAGUUUAAAAAAAAAAGAAAACAUAAAAGAAAAGAAAAGAUGUAGAGAAACGACGGGUGCCUGCUGGUGUAGGAUAGAAACAGUGUAUGUGGAUGUAGCUUAUAACUACCCAAUCCCGUUGAACAUAUUUCCUCCGACCAGACCAUCCCCAGAAUAAUAAUAAUAAUAAAAUUCAACGGAGGCCGCCUUCCCUUCACCGGAUCACCUUCCUUCCUUUGGAUCUAUCUUCCCAUUCCGACGGUUCUUCGUUUCUCAGGUCUCCUCUUCCUUUCUCAUCUAUUCCCUUUUUAAAUCCUUUUUUAUUUUUUGCUUUAAUCGCUUGUUUCAUGGGCGAUCACUUUUCUCUCUUGCGAUCGGUGAAUUUUGAUUCUUCUGUCUACCCAUAAACCUCGUGUUGACAUGUGUUUCGCGAUCUAACAAUAUAUAUUAUUAGUGUUUACGGAUUGUUUUAGACAUCAAUCAUCGAUCCUCUCGCUGAGGAAAAUUGCAGUUCCUAGUCUUGCGAACUGUUGAUUUGUUCCUAAUUUGGGGGUUACUGAUCCUAGAGGAAUUGGAUUUCAUUAAUCUAUUUGAUUCAUCAUCAUCAUUAUGUGUUGCGUGCAGAGUAUCAAUAAUCAAUCUACCUUGGAACAAUGAGUGAGGUGUUUAACGGAUACGAGCGCCAAUACUGCGACCUCUCGGCCAACCUCUCCAAGAAAUGCUCCUCUGCUAUUGCCCUUGACGGAGGUAAGUAAUUCCAUAUCAUCUCUUGCUCCUCAUCCACUGCCCCUAACUUCCUUCCUCUUUUAUGAGUUACUACAAGCCUUUCUCUGCUUUCCAGGGCCGGCCCUAGGCCAUGCUAGGUGAAACAUUCGCAACAGGCCCCUAAAAUUUUUGAAAAAAAUUACAUACAAAUAAGCCCCAAAACAAAAUUUCAUACAGCAGGGUCAGACCUCCAGAAUCUCAGGUCUGGCCCUGCUGCUUCCCUUUGAAAGCUGAUGAUACCUUUACUGAUUGAAUUGCAGAACAAAAGAAGCAGAAGCUCUCUGAGAUAAGAUCUGGCCUCGAUAAUGCUGAAGCAUUGGUAUGUGUGACUCUGGAAUAUAGCAGUUUUUUCUUUAUUGUCCCUUUUAACAUUUUUUCUUAUUCACCAGAUUAGGAAAAUGGAUGUUGAGGCGAGGAGCCUUCCACCGAGCAUUAGGACCAGCCUCCUUGUUAAACUAAGAGAGUUCAAGUCCGAUCUCAACAACUUCAAAAGCGAAGUCAAGAGGAUCACAUCUGCUAACUUGAAUGCUGCUGCUCGCGACGAGCUGCUUGAAGCUGGUCUGGCUGACACAAAGACGGUAUGUAAAGAGAACUCACUAGUAUCUUUUUUGACAUCUUUUGAUUGAUCUAUGACAUUUGAGGGCAGGCUUCGGCUGAUCAAAGAGCGAGAUUGAUGAUGUCAACCGAUCGAUUGGGUCGAACCACUGACAGAAUCAAGGACAGUCGAAGAAUGAUGAUUGAGACUGAAGAGCUUGGAGUUUCUGUCCUACAAGACUUGCACAGUCAGAGACAGUCUCUCCUUCGCACUGGCGACACGGUAUGUACUCUCUUCUUCAGCACGAUUUUAUCAUGAAGAAGACUACGUUUUAUUUAUAUACUACUUGUGAUUGGUGUCUCUUUUAACCAAAAGUUAGAACUCUGAAACAUGCAGCUUAGUGGAGUAGACGAAAAUGUCGGAAAGAGCAAGAAGAUCUUGACGGGCAUGACCAGGGGGAUGAACAGGAACAAAUGGACCAUUGGAGCCAUUAUCACCGCUCUGGUCGCGGCUAUUAUCCUCAUCUUGUACUUCAAACUCACCAAGUAAUCCCUCUGUAUCUAAACUCUUUGUCGCUGAACAAAUGGUGUGUAUCUUUUAUUUAAUCCUUUUCUGGCUUUCUGUGUGAUAAGUUAUGUCUUUGCCACCUUUUGUAUUAUCACGUUCUCUUGUUUGCGUUUGCGAUUACAUUUGUGUAUUUUAAUACUGAAUGAUGCAAAUUGUUUUGUUUUAUUAUUACUAAACGCAAGCGUAAAUUACAUUUCAAACAAUUAGAGCCUAAGCCUUGAGAUUGAGAACUAGUUGUGUGUUUUUCUUUCAUUCUUGAACCUGUUAUAAUCAGCGAGCAAGCUCUCAAUAACCUUAUGUUUCAUGCUAUCCACCAAACCAGUCAAAAUCUGUAGAAACCAAAUCACAACCAAACAUUAUUUACAAAGCUGAAAUAGUGGAAAAUAUCGUUUUCGAGUUCUCAAACGCAUAUAAGAAACCGUUUCUAACCGCAUUGGCCACGCUUCUCUUAACAUCUUCGGGUACAAACGCAAGAACCGAAGGAAGGACGAAGCUUACGUUCAUCUCUAAUUGACCUUUGAGCCUUGUGUGGCUUCCGCCUCGGUCUGGGUACAAUGCUCCUUGAACUCCCAGAGUGAAAUCAGACUGUUCCAUGACCUGGCCAAGCCCUUGAAGCUCCCAUUUCAUCUGAAGGUAAACCGUUAAAAGGGAACAAAAGAGUGAGAAUCGUCAAGGGUUGUGUCUGUUUCUAUUACCAUGUUAAGCUCAAGAACUCUGGUUAUGUCUAGAGGUACAUCAGGCGGGUAAUCUUGACCGUUGGAUUUGCAUCUAAUUCGCAUGUCCACCACUGGCCUUGCAGUGAGGAAGAGGAAAUUUAUAGGUGACAUAUGAAUUCUCCAUUCUUCCUGCACAAAUAAAAUAUUGUUAGAUACCGAAUGCAUUCCCACUUACAUAAAAAGUAACACAUAUUAGCUACCUCGUUAAGCCUAUAGCUUCUAGGUUUAUCAGGAAACAUUGCUUUGAAAACCCUACACUUAUCCUCCAAAUACUCAUCGAACAACGCCUGAACUUUCCCGAAACGCGUCAAACACAUACACUGUUGUACAGUGAUGCAUAUAUAUAACUCAUUAUAGGAAAUGAGAGUGAGAAUGAGACCUGAGGAGACUCGUGCAAUUGAACAUCGGUAGAGAAUUUAGAUGAAUACUUGGAGGCUUUUACAGUUGACAACUGGCACUUGGCUCCUGGCCGUAAUGUUCUCAUCUCCGCCGCUGUAGACCUGAUUCUUCCCAGCAUUGUCGGACACGACAAAACUGUUGAGCUGACAGCCAUGUUAGUAGUCUCUCUCUAGGUUUUCAAGAUUGGAUGAUGUUUGAUCUUUCCCACAUGUUUGAAAGAUAAGGGGAUAUGUGUCUUUCGGCCUUGUAUGUAGACGUGGUAUAUCGAGGGACUAUCCACCUCAUCAACAUUUUGAAUUCUUGGCCCUCUUUGAUUUACUCCUUUAUUCACGUUUUUCUCACUAUUAAGAAGAAGACAAUCUUGUUGAACAAAUAAUUAAAAAAAAGAAGACAAUCUCUUUCUCUCUAUACUCUUUCAGUCUUUCUUCGGUUCUCUGUUAUGAAAACAGUCUCCUUUCUUUCGGCUAAAUCAGGUCAAUAACAGAAAAUUGUGUGUUUUUUUUACAGUGUUCUAAAAAUUGGUUUAGAUGACACAUUAAAAAAAGUCUAACCAUACAUUUAAUCAACAAUCUUCGUAAAAAGUAUAACUACCGCCUAACGAUUUUUUGCAUUGUUUUUCUCUCAAAAUAUUACAAUUGACAGAUUUAAUAUUCAAAUAUUAUAGUUACUCCAUAACUAAUAGCUCGACGGCAUAAAAUUGACAUGAUAUAGUCAAUAGUUUCGUCUAUUUUUAACAGUUGACUAUUAUAAUCCUAAUUUUUUUAAUUAUAAUCCUAGUUUUAUGGUGUAUAUAUAUACUAGUUGAUACAAGUUGUUUUGUUUAAUAUAAACGUAUACGCCAAACAUGGCGCAUAAAUUACAUUCAAACCAUUAAAGCUUUAGCCUUGAGAUUAAAAACUAAUGAUGUGUUCUUCUUUCAUUCUUAAACCUAUUAUAAUCAUCGAGCAAGCUCUCAAUAACCUUAUGCUUCAUAUUAUCCACCAAACCAUUUAAAACCUGCAGAAAGCAAAUAAAAACAUAAGAUAAUAUAUAAAUUUGGAAUAUAGUGUUUUGAAUUUGCAAAUGCAUUUAUUUCUAACCGCAUUGGCAACGUUUCUCCUAACAUCCUCUGGUACAAGCAUGAGAACCGUAGGAAGCACGAAGCUAACGUUCAUCUCUAGUCGACCUUUGAGCCUUGUGUGCCUUCCGCCUCGGUCUGGGUACAAUGCUCCUUGAACUCCAAGGGUGAAAUCAGAUGGCUCCAUGACCCGGUCAAGCCCUUGAAGCUCCCAUUUCAUCUGAAAAUAAACCGUUCAAAGAGAACAAAAGAGUGAGGUAUUUAGACUUUUUAGUACUUCCUCCAUUCAACGAAGAUAUAAAUCUUGGAUAUUUCACACAAUUUAAAUAUAAAUUUACAAUUCUAAAAUAUUUUUUUAAUACCAUAAUUUAAAAAAAAUCAAUUUAUUUCAACAGUAUUGUCUUAAUCAAUAUGAUCAGUAAAUAAAGGUAAACAAUUAUUCAUAAAACUUUUCUCUUUCUGAAACAAUUAAAAAUGUCAAAACUUGUAUUUUUGUGGAAAGGAGUGAGUACCAUGUUAAGCUCAAGGACUUUGGUUAUGUCUAGAGGUACAUCAGGCGGGUAAUCCUGACCGGUGGAUUUGCAUCGGAUCCGCAUGACCACCACUGGCCACGCAGUGAGGAAGAGAAAUUUUAUUGGCAACAUUUGGAUUCUCCAUUCUUCCUGCACAAGUAAAUCAUGUCGGUCUUUUCGUUAGAGUAACCAAAGAAUGCAACCCAGAGCCGUGCCUGACUAGAGGCUGAUCAAGCACUUGCUUGAGGCCAAAACGUAGAUAAAUAGUUUUAUGGGCCAAUUUCUUGGCAAGAGUUGUCUACAGAACAGUUGGUAAUAGUCUGUAUUAUUACUCUAGGGUCCCGGGUUCAAUCACGAGUAUAGCAGUUUGACCUUUUUUCCAAAAAAUUUAUAGUUUAUGGGGCAAAUUUUUUUUAGUGCUUUAGGACCCACAAUAUUCAGGCAUGGCCCUGAAUUGCAACCCCACACUUAUAAAAAUGGAACAUGGAUGUUACCUCGUUAAGCCUAUAGCUUUUGGGUUUAUCAGGAAACAUUGCUUUGAAAACCCUCGACUUAUCCUCCAAAUACUCAUCGAACAACGCCUGAAGUUUCAAAGCAUUACAACACAAACAGUUUUACACUGAUGCAUACAUAUAUAACAUUAUAGAGAUUGAAAGUGAGAAAGAGAUACCAGAGGAGACUCGUGCAGUUGAACAUCGGUAGUUAUUUUAGAUGAAUAUUUGGAGGGUUUUACGGGUGACAACUGACACUUAACUCCCCACCGUAUUGUUCUCAUCUCCACCGCCACCGACCGGCGUCUUCCGAACAUCUUCGGGCAUGACAAAACCAUUGAGCUUACAGCCAUUUUACCAGUCUUUCUCUCUCUUUUUUGGUCUUCAAGAUUGGAUGAUAUUUGAUCUUUCCCACUUUUCUCUCUCUCUAUAUUUAUAUAUAUCUUCAGAGGAAAGAUUGCGUCUUUGCUUCUCUUUAAUACGUUUAGAGACCUUUGUUAAAGAAAAUAGAGACAGAGAGUAACAUUCUCACGGUACGCAUUUGGAAGAUAGUGGAUUUCGAGAAAUAAUUGUUGAAACAUUGCUUUUCAACCUCUAUAGUAACCGGGUACAUAUUCGGUUUGGUUUAAUUGUUUCAGGUUUUGUAAGAAAUAUAAGUCCACUUCAUUUAAUUUAGUUUAGUUUGGUUUGGUUUAGUUAAGAGGUUACCCAUUUAUUUUGCCAUCUACGUGGUGAUAAUGUAAAGCCUCGUCUGUCACGCAGUUGUUGAUGAGAGUGACACGAGAACAUUGAACGUUGAGAAUAAUCUGUAGAAUAACUUCUAUCACACGCAGAGGUUUUGAAAAAAAAAAGAAAAAGAAUUCAUUGCUUUCGAAACCGACAAACUCUCGGACCGAAUACUAAGAAACCGGUUUACUUUGGCGCCUAGGAAUAUGGGUUACUAACUUUGACUUUUAAUGUAAGCAAUAAGCAAAGAUCUCUUGUUGUUUGCAACUCUUUCAACUCUAUAAUCUUUGUUUUUCAGACUGGCUAAGUAAAUUAAAACAUUAAAAUCUUAUAUAGUAUGUUACGAUGACUGUUCAUAAACGAUUUGUUCAUGUUGGAUUGAGAAACUAUACAUGGUUGAGCAUUGACAUUAAAAUUCGGCUUUAGUAGAUAACUUGUGUAAUCUUCUCUCGUUCUUGAACCUGCUAUAAUCAGCGAGCAAGCUCCCAUUAACCUUAUGCUUCAUAUUCUCCACUAAACCUGUCAAAACCUGUAAAUGGGUCCAAAUCAGAUCAUGUGUAAAUCAUAAGAGAUAGUCAAAUAAGGUUUUACAUACCGCACUGGCCAAGUUUCUCCUAACGUCUUCAGGUACCAAUUCAAGAACCGGGGGAAGAACAAAGCUUAUGUUCAUCUCUAGCUGACCUCUGAGCCUUGUGUGCUUUCCUCUCCGGUCUGGGUACAAUGCUCCUUUGACUCCCAAACUGAAGUCAGACGGUUGCAUCACUCGGUCAAGCCCUUUAAGUUGCCAUCUCGUCUGAAAAGAAGCAUUUAAGAGUUUGAGUAAUGGAAGAUGAAGAAACGAAGAGAGAGAAAAGUUAUUACCAUGUUGAGCUCAACAACUUUGGUUAUGUCUAAAGGUACGUCUGCCGGGUAAUCCUGACCGUUGGAUUUGCAACUUAAACGCAUAUCGACCACAGGCCACACAGUGAGGAAGAGGAAAUUAAUUGGUAACAUCUGAAUCCUCCACUCUUCCUGCAAAAAUUCAAUUUAUCCAAGUAGACUUAAAAUAGUGAAAAAGGGGGCGUUCCGAGAAUUGAACUCGGGACCUCUCGCACCCUAAGCGAGAAUCAUACCACUAGACCAAACGCCCGUUUUGAACGUGUUUUAUAUAUAACUAAUGUUAGUCAUAUUAGUUGACGUACCUCGUUAAGCUUAUGGCUUCUGGGUUUGUCAGGGAACAUGGCUUCGAAAACUCUCGAUUUAUCCUCUAAAUAGUCAUCAAACAACGCCUAAAAGUUCCUCAAAAUCACAUUUAAGAAACGCACCAAAACAGUUUAAACUGAAUCGUGUUAUAGAGGGAGAGAGAGAAGGAGACCUGAGGAGACUCGUGGAGAGGAAUAUCUGUGGAGAGUCUUGACGAAUACGUGGCAGGUUUUAUGGAUGAUACCUGACACCUAACUCUCCACCGUGUAAUUGGUCUCAUCUCCGUCUUCACCGGUCGGUAAGUUCCGAACAUGGGCGAUGACAAAACCGCCAUUUCACCGAUUAUCUUUUCAAUAUCAGAACUUUUAUAUAUUCCACAUUUCUCUUUUGAUUUCUCUCUGAAAGUUAAAAACUUUUGAAAGAACUUUUAGAUUUCUCUAGAGGAGUGAAGUUGCUUUUUGCUAGAGAUUUUGGAGGGAUAAGGGGAUAUCUGUCUUUCGGCCUUCUAUGUCGACGUGGCAUAUUUUGAGACUAGCCACAUCAUCAACAUUUGGAAUUCGUAGGGCCCUUCUUUUCUUUGUACUCCUUUCGGACUUUUCCUUUCCGUUAGUGGAUGAGAAUGACACGAGACGAAACUAAAAAAAAAAAAAACUCAAAUGUAUUAUCUGACGACAAAGGAAGGUUCGACAAACUAAACUCAAUCCUUAUUUUACAUUAGUUCCACUGUACAUGUUCUGUCAUAUUAAAAGAUCAAGAAUAUUCAAAUCCUACGAGCAACGCAUUAUAUUGUCGGAUGAAUUUCCUUGAAAGUGUAUGGUUUGAAAUUUCAGGACUGUAGAGGGCACACAGAUGAUCCUCCUAAAGAAUGUAGAUAUCAAACCUUAAGUUCUGUGAUUUGUUCUUCGAUUUCUUGCUUAUAAAAGCAAACUAAAAUGAAAUGUGGAACGUAAAUGCCACAAUUGAUUCACGGCUUCGUUGAGCUCACUUCACUCUCUUUGUUAAAACUCAAAUACAUCUCGAUCUUCUUAGUUCCAACAACCAAAGAGGAUACAAAAGACAAUCUUUCACGGUUUAUUUCUAACAUUAGUAAGAAAAGGACUCGUCUCUUUCUCUCUUAAUUCCUUCACGGUUAAAACCUCAAGUCAAACCGUCAACACACUUAUGGGCCUUAUCCAUUUCCUAACUGGGCCUUAAUUUUAAUUUUAAUUUCUAGUCCAAUCGGUAAUCGCUUCGAUCUGUCGGUAGACAGAAUAGAAUAAUGGUUUCGCCGGUUAAACCAGUCGGCAAUCGGUACGAUCAGAUUGCAUAAAAGCAAAUCAUAAUAAGUCACGUGGCACAGUUUACACGGUUCGUAGACUCGUAGUGGUCGCCAUGUAAACAGCGGGAAAACAGGGCCCCACACAUAUUAACUAAGGAGUAGGACCAACAAAAUCAUCACCACGAAACGCAGCGUUUCCCCUUCGUCUCCGCGUUUAAAAUCUUCUUUCACCCUUUCGUCAUUUCGUCAGAUCCAAGAGAGAGAGAGAGAAAUCAGAAAAAGAUCUUGAAACGAUGCCGUACUACACCAGAGACGAGGAUGAAGUCGACGAUUUCGACGAGUUCGAUCCGACGCCGUACAGUGGAGGCUACGACAUCACCGUGAUCUACGGCCGUCCGAUCCCUCCUUGCGACGACACUUGCUACCCUCUCUCCUCCGCAGCGGAUGAAGAUUUCGAGUACGAGAGACCUGAAUUCACCUCGUACCACGAUCCUUCCGCCUACGCCGAAGAAGCUCUCAACCCCGAGUACAGCAGCUACUCCCGCCCCAAGCCCCGUCCCGGUUUUCGACCCGGUUCUGCCGGAGGCGGUCACGUCCAAGGUGAGCGACCCGAUCAGAGUUACGGAUCCGGUUACGGUGGUCAGACGGAGGCUGAGUACGGUAGGAGACCUGAAUCGGGGUACGGCGGAGCCACGGAGACGGAGUAUGGCCGGAGACCUGAGCAGAGUUACGGAUCUGGUGGAUACGGUGGCAGAUCGGAGGUUGAGUCUGGUGGCUAUGGUGGUAGAUCAGAGGUUGAAUCUGGUGGAUACGGUGGAAGAUCGGAGUCUGGUGGCUAUGGUGGAAGAACGGAGGUUGAGUAUGGCCGGAGACCUGAAUCUGGAUAUGGUGGGAGAUCGGAGACGGAGACCGGGUACGGAUCCGGGUAUGAGAAGAAACCGAGCUUCGGUGAAGAGAGGAGCGAGUAUGAGCGCAAGCCUAGCUAUGGAAGGUCUGAGGAUCAAGAGGAAGGAGGUUACAGGAAGCCUAGCUAUGGGAGAUCUGAGGAUCAGGUUGAGAGCUACAUAAAGCCCAGCAGCUACGGGAGGUCUGAGGAAGAGGAAGAAGGAGGCUAUAGGAAGCCUAGCUAUGGAAGGUCUGAGGAACAGGAGGAAGGGAGUUACAGGAAGCCUAGCUAUGGCCGUCGUAAUGAUGAUGAUGAUGAUGAGGAGCGCAGGAACCGUUCCGGUGAUGAUGAGGAAGGGAGCUAUGGCCGCAAGAAAUAUGUAAGUUCAAUAAGUUAAUUAUAUAAAGUUAUAGUCAAUUUGCAUCUAGAUUAUUGUGUGGAAAUUAAGUUUAUUGAUUGUUUAAACAUAAAACCCUUUUGUUGAUGGACUGAUCUCAACAUUGAAACUAAAGAUUAUAGUUUUGGUGAUAACAUCCAUUACCCCCUUUAACUUCAUUCGUUCAGUAUUUGAUUUAACAUUGACAUCUUGUAGGUUAUAACAAUCAUAGUACAGAACUUGCAUUGUGUUUUUUGCGUCUCGUUUGUUUUGAAAAUAAGUUUUAGUUUGGUUUUGAUCACAGUGUAGCGGUGUAACUCUGUUUUCACAUCCUGAAAUGGAGUUCCUUAAUUUGAAAGCUAUGUUCUACAAUCCCAUAAUAACGUUCCUGGUUCAAUGUUUGUUUGAAUAUAGACAUCUUGAAUAUGUCCCAUUGUUGAUCUUAGUGUAGAGUAGUCUCCAUGUUGAACUAAAGUGUUUGUCUUUCAUACCCUGUAACUCUGUUUUCACAUCCUGUAAUGGAUUAGCCUCGGUUGAAAGCUAAGUUCUUUGAUUGAAAUUGCACAUCAUGUAUAUGACAUUUGAAGAUCAUAGUUACAGAGUAUCUAUCUCCAUUGUUAUGGUGACCGUUAAUAGAGGCAUCACUGACUAAAGCUUUCGCUUAACGUUAUUCAUCUCUGCAUCAAAUUCUGUAGGGUGGCAAUGACUCUGAUGAUGAUGAGGAGAAGAAGCAGCAGCGUUACAAGCAUCACCACCACCAGAGGCGUCGUGAUGAAGACGAUGACUAAAGCCCUCACUCAGUGCUGGAAUCGAGUGCUUCUACUUAGCUUCAUAUUACUAAAUAAAAAGCUAAGGCAUAUUUAUCUUUGGAUGUUGUUGUUGUGUUUGUUUGAUUCUCUCUAGAUACAGCAGAGUCUGUGUCUGGGUUUGUUUCUGGUUCAUUAUAAGACCUUGAAUUGAUAUCGGGUCAUCAUCAUGAUGUUAAACUGUUGCUACUCUGUGUUUCGUUUUUAUUUAUGGAACUUUUCUCUUUUAUGGCUUCUGUUGUUUUGGUUUUGUCGAUAUUAAUAUUAAAAAUCAAAAGUCAUUGCCGAGAAGGAAAAAUAUUUUGUGGUAAAAGCUAGAUUCGAUUUUUUAUACUGAAUAUUUUAUGAUUAAAAACAGAAAAAAGAAAAUCGGUUUUGUAAUAGGAAUGGGUUAAUCAGAUACCUAUAUGUACAUUACACAUCUUUUUGCUUCAACAUCAGAAACUUACAACCAAACAAUUCUAAAAGAAGCAAUGUCAAGCGCUACAGUCCUCGAUGAAUCUAGCGUUCCUAGCCCCAGGAGUACAUGGAGGUGAGAUUCCACUAAAUAUAUUGUUAUGUAACAUAAGAUUUUUGAUUAUAAACAUUAUUAUACUGAAACGAAUUUUCUGGUUGGUUGCAGGAUGGACGGGCAGUUACGAUACGACAUUGCGAUGAACACCAUCAUUAUAAUCCUCAUCACUGAUGCGGUCUUACAUAUGACUCUGAGAGCCCACAAGAUUCCCCUUGCUGAUAACGUUGAGGGACUUUUAUGUACAUUUGUAGUUGCGUACGUGUUUGUCAUCACGACUAAUUGCGGGUAUUGGCUUACAGCAAGCGAGGAAGAAGGGUGUUUACUUGGAAUUUACAUCACGGGACGCCUUGGUCACACGUUAGGCUUUUGUAUUUUCCUCUGUCUCCUCUAUUCUAGUUCUCACUUGGCUAUGUACGUUGCUCUACCUUGUUUACUAUGUUUGGUGCCAGCCAUGUUUGCACCGUGUUGUCCAUGUCUGUGGAGAGGAGAGUCAACUUGGUGGAAUUUUGUGAAGCAACCACAACCAACAGUAGAUAUUGUUUAACUUUUGGACUAUUAUUAUUAAUAGAAUUUUUUAAUUCCUAAUUUUGUAAACAUCUCGUCAAUUGUUUGUUCUUAACUUUUCUCUCUUGCGAUCGGUGAAUUUUGUUUCCACUGUCUACCCAUAAACCUCGUGUUGACAUGUGUUUUGCGAUCUAACAAGAUAUUAUUAUGGUUUAGGGAUUGUUUUAGACAUCAAUCCUCUUUUGAUAUGGCUGAAGAAAAUUAAGAGUUCCUAGUCUUGAUUUGUUCCUGCUUAAUGUAAUUUGGGGAAAGUGAUCAUUUAUCUUUUGGUACAUUAUCAUUGUGUGUUGCAUGCAAAGUAUCAAUCUACUUGGAACUUAACAUUGCGUUAUUUGCAUCUAGCUUGUUUGGAAAAUAAGUUUUAAUUUGGUUUAAUCCCGUUGUUGAUCACAGUGUAGUGUGAUCUCAAUGUUGAACUAAAGAUAUCUUUAGUUUGUUCUUUAGAUUCUUUAUGAGUUACUACAAGCCUUUGUCUGCUUCCCUUUGGUUACAGGCUUGUCAUUACUAGUUGUAGAUCAUCAUUGAUUUUGCAGAACAAAAGAUGCAGAAGCUGUCCCAAAUAAGGACACAAGGACAUAAGUUUGUGCUUUAGAUCCUUUAUGAGUUUAUCUUCAGUUUUUGCGUUUUAGAUCCUUUAUGAGUUAUUACAAACCUCUCGACUCUUGUAAGGACAUAAGAUCUGUGCAUUAUCUGGUUACUGGCUGUACAAAGAGCUUGUCAAUUACUAGGUGUAGAUCAUCAUUGUUUCUGUUUGUUAAGAUGCAUUGAUGACACCUUACUCAUUGAUUCCCGAAACAAAAGAAGCAUAAGCUCUCUGAAAUAAGGCGUGGCCGCAAAAAUGCUAAAGUGUUGGUAUGUAGUCUAAGGCAUAGAUCGAAUAAAGCAGCGUUUUCCUUAUUGUCCCUUUGCUUUGUACAUUUUCUUAUUCACCAGAUUAGAAAAAUGGAUCUUGAAGCCAGGAGCCUUCCACCAAGCAUUAAUUCCAGCCUCCUUGUCAAACUAAGAGAGUUUUCAAGUCUGAUCUCAACAACUUCAAAAGCGAAGUCAAGAGAUCGAUGAGGUCAGCUGAUCGAUUGGGUCGAACCACAGACAGAAUCAAGAGACUGAAGAGCUUGGCGUCUCAGUCCUCCAAGACUUGCACAGUCAGAGACAGUCUUCCUCUCCUACGCACUAACGACACGGUAUGUGCUCUCUUCAACAAUUUUCUCUUACACGGGUUUUAUCAUGAAGAAGAAUACUACGUGUGAUUGGCAUCUCUUUUAACCAAUAGCUCGUUCUCUGAUACAUACAGCUUAGUGGAGUAGACGACAAUGUAGGAAAGAGCAAGAAGACCUUGACAGGCAUGACUAGGAGGAUGAACGGGAACAAAUGGACCAUUGGAGCCAUUAUCACCGCUUUGGUCGCCGCCAUUAUCCUCAUCUUCUACUUCAAACUCACCAAGUAAGCCUCUGUAUCUAAACUCUUUGUCGCUGAACAAAUGGUGUGCUGUAAGUAGUAACAGCUGAUGACGAGGAAGAAGAUAGAAGGAAGCUAAGACUCUGAGGGACAAAGAGGCUUCUGCAGUUACAGUGAAGCUACUGUAUAAAUAAUAUUAUAGAGGGAGUGAAAGAGAGACUUUAUCGAUGUAUUAGCUCAUGCCUCAUAGUUCCAGUUGAUACUCUAUAUUGUGAGAGAGAGUGAUACAGUUGUAUUGUGUGUGUUAUGGAUCAAUAGAGAUUUGGUUCAUGACAUCUGGCUUUUAUCUGUGUGAUAAGUUAUGUCUUUGCCACCUUUUGUAUUAUCACGUUCUCUUGUUUGUGUUUGCGUUUACAGUUGUGUAUUUUUAUACUAAAUGAUGCAGAUUGUUUUGUUUAUUAUUAAAAGCAAGCUUAAAUUACAUUUUAGACAAUUAGAACUUAAGCCUUGAGAAUAAGAACUAGUUGUGUGUUUUUCUUUCAUUCUUGAACCUGUUAUAAUCAGCGAGCAAGCUAUCAAUAACCUUACGCUUCAUGCUAUCCACCAAACCAGUCAAAAUCUGUAUAAACCUGGAAUAUAGCUGGUUCAUAAUAAGACCUUGAACUGAUAUUGGGUCAUCAUCAUGUAAACAGCUGCGACUCUGUGUUUUGUUUUUGUGCUAUGAAAAUUUCUUAUUUUAAAGCAUAACUUCUAUUGUUUUUCUUUUGUCCAUAAGAAAAUUUAUUUUGUCGUUAAAACCAAUGUGACCACACAAAACCACUUAUCUAAUCUAAUCUAGAAACAAUAUGAAACAAGCUUCCUGCCAAAGACAUACACCACAGUUACAACCACCUUUGAAAUCGACAUUCCAAGUAUAAACCAUCUUGGCCACAUGCUGUGAACAGUGGUUGAUCCUUCAGCUUCCUUACGCAGCUGUGAAGGUUCCAAAGAAGAGUGCGAUGACAAGCCACAGUAAGAACCAUCUAGUAUUGAGUUUUCUCCUCAGUGUCUCCGCUUUGUUGGCUUGUGGAGUUGUGCCAAGUUGAAGUACGUCGCCACGAAACCAAUGUUGUUGAGCAGGAGAUAGACAGUGUAACAUCGCGUGUCUCUGAAACGUAUGUAGCCAUUUGAAUCGAGUCCACUAGGUGGACUUGAGAAGGAAGCCACCGUGGUUAGGCCACCGAUGGCCAACACGAACUUGGUAAGUUCUUCUCGCUCUUUGUAAAGAGCCUCCAAAGGAUCCUGAAAUAAAUAAAGCGUAUGUAGCCAUGUGAUGUGGACUUGAGAAGGAAGCCAAUGUGGUUAGGCCACCGAUGGCCAACACAAACUUGGUAAGUUAUUCUCGCUCUUUAUUAAGAGCCUCCAAAGGAUCCUACAAUAAAGUGUACAAAUUUUGUAACUCAAAUCUUUUCCUCAUUCUCAGACAUCUCUCGUAGAAGACAUACUAACCGGUUUGCCUGAGAAAUAUAAAACUAAAUGUUUAAAGUACAUGCUUCUUAUAAAAUCAAUCUACAACUAUUCAAUAAAACUUGAUUUGCUUUUAUUAAACCCAUUAAAAGCAUUUACACACUCAAUCACACAACUAUACUUAAAUGCCACGACUUUCUCUUGUUCUAAAUAACUUUACGUCUUUACAUGUGUCUCAUUUGUAGACUUUCGUUACUACAUGUAACAUUUUUUCCAUGACUUUCAUGACCCGAAAUGAAGCUUUAAAAGUUCGUGAAACUAGUUUUCAAUAUAACAGUUCAUCAACUUAUCAACACAUUUACCUUAAUAUUCUAUGUUCCAAUAAAAUAAACAAACUUACUGCGAUUAUCGACGAAAUGGAGCUGAGGUUGAGGAAAGUCCUUGAUUUCCUAUCUUCAACAAAAAUAAAAAAGUAAAGAAAUGUUUUGCUAUUACAACAGCUUAUGUAGUGAUUCAGAUAAAACAAAAAAAUAAACACAACCUUCUGAUUGAUGCCACAUGAAAAAUGAUCAAUGUCUCUAAGCUUCUCAUCCUAAACGCCUUCCCCAUACAAUUUACAAAAUUUCUUCUCCUCUACAACUUUUGUCGUUAUGCGAAGAUGGUGACCCUCUGUUCAUUAAAUCGAUUGGGCUUUUUUUUCUUUCUUUUUUAGUAUCAUGUGCUUAAAGAUCCUAUUAUAAUAUUCUAAGUACGUUUUUCAUAGACGAGACAUCCCAAAUUUUUAUCUUUACUUUUCCUACACCAAUUCAUAGCUAUUUAUAUUUUGACGCAAACUAUAUAAAAUCGGAUCAGUUUACUCAAAACCCAGUACGUGGCUAAUCGUAAAAGAUACAUAGAAGUAUUCAACAAAUCAUUUCAUAUCAUUCAUUCAUUCACCCACAAAGAGCUCUCAAAUUGGUUUCGCAACUACAAAACAUCGAAUCCGUUCUUGGAUUAGGGUUUUGAGAUUGAGUCUCAUCAAUUUUUUUUGUUUCUUAUUGUAGAAAACUUUCACUUUGAGCUACAAGACAACUACUAGUGAAGGAGACCAGACAGUUCCAGAUCCGUUUCCAAAGUUGUUGGAUAAUUUAGGACCAUCUUUAGUACAUUUGUUCUUCGUCCCUGAGAAAAGAGGAGGAUCGAGUUAGGUUAAAUUUGCUACAGGUUAUGUCAAAUUGUGCGGGAGAAUGUCGGUAGUAAAAUGAACUUACUUAUGCACCUUAGUGUUUGUUAUCACACCUGAGUGUGUUGAGAUUCACAAUCUGAUUUUGAUGGAAGAAAGCGGGAAGAAACUAGUUAGCUACUUUCUUGAGAAUUCAUUUGUUCUCAAGAAACUCAUCCCGCGUUUUAGGGAUUCUUUAAUAUAUCUUACUCAGAUUUCUUCAAGGAGCUUCUUAAAUUCAGAAAGCGGUCUUGCAGUUGUCCGAUUAUUUUUCUUUGAGAAAUUGGCGAUUAGAGUUCAUUAUUUAUUUUGAUUUUGAGUAUCAUUGUGUAUGAAUUUCGUAUGGAUUGUAGAUUUUAUUAAAACCUGUUCCAUAAAGAUUUAUUUUUUGAUGGAAAAAGAGUAAACGACUUUAUAAGAUUUUGUUGCAGUUAAAAAUUAAAAGAUAAACAAAUAUAUAUUAUGUAUUUAUUUAUGAAAUAAGAAAAUUAAUUAAUACUUGAUUUGACAUUGUUAUCUUUAAGAAAUUUUAUACCUUCCAACAUGUUAAUAAAAUUGAUUACAUUAAAUAUAUCAACCGUGGCAGUUACAGCCCCCGAUUAAAGCAUUUGAUCUAGUCAGUAGAUUUCUUGGAAAUCAAGUUUCGAUUCCAUUUCAUUUGUGCAUGUUAAACGCCCUAGUAAUAGUUGUGCUGACUUCAAACAGAUCGGAGGCUUACUGAAUUUGAAUUUGGUCGACUUUGAGAAGGUGAACAAAAUUCGAUUGUGAGUUAUUUCAAAAACGUUUUUAUUGAUAAGAUGAAAAAGAGGUUACAGUGUUUGGACAUGUAAAGUAUAAAACACAAAUAUAAGUUGUUGUUUUUAACACUAGAUAAAUUACCAAUUACUAAUGAACAACUAUACAGAUAAUAAAGAGCCUACAAUACUUUGAAAUGUUCGAAGAGCUUUGCAUAUAAUAAUCUGUAAUAAACAAAACAUAAGUGUAAAAAUCUUUAAACAAUAACCAUUAAACUAUAGUGCUUAUACGAGUCGUAUUUGUUGAAAACAAAACAAGUAUGAGUCGUAUGACCUGAACAAAACAAAAUCGAAUAACAAACCGGAUCUAAUUGACCACUAACCGGAACCGGUUCAAUCGGGAAUUGACUCAAAUCCCAUUAAGCGGCGCAUCGCGAGAAAAAGAGCCAGCAACUGUUCAAAAUAUCUCAAUAGAUAGAUCAAAAAGCAAUCAUGGACACCAUCAUUCAUUAACAAAUAUCCUCUGAAACCUCCGUUUGAAUUAUUUCUAUCUUCUCACAUCGCAUCAUGGGUGCUUCAUCCUCUACAGAUAAUAAAGAAUCAUCGGAGAAGCGAGAAAUCGAAAGCCUCGCUGCUUCCACCGGUGCUCUUCCUCUGCUUCAACGAUUUUUCUCCAAGCUCGCCGAUCCUCAGACCAACACUGUUUCCUUCCAAUCAUUCAAGGUAAUAACGAUUAGGGUUCUGAUUGUUCUUAAAGAGAAUCUGGAUUUGCAGUUACAGUAGUUUUGGGAUUUGAUCGGAUCGUGAAUUAGUGUUUUGACACUGAGUUUGAUCGGAUCAUGAAUUAGGGUUUUGAGACGUUUCAUCAAUUUUUUUUUGUUUUGUUUCUUAUUGUAGAAAAGCUUCACCUUGAGCUACAAGACAACUACUUGUGAAGGAGACCAGAAAGUUCCAGAUUCGUUUCCGAGGUUGUUGGAGCAUUUAGGACCAUCUUUAGUAGAUUUGUUCUUCGUCCCUGAGAAAGGAGGAGGGUUGAGUUGGGUCGAGUUUGCUAGAGGUUAUGUCAAAUGCUGCGGAAGAAUGUCUGCCUCCAUGUCUUACAACACUCUGUUGAGAGUGUUUCAUCUGACAUCUCAAAACGCAGGCUUUUCCUCGAAGCUGGAGUUCGAAUCUGACGAAGCUGAUUGUAAGAUCAACGGGUCGGUUUCCACCGUAGAGUUGGUUAUGUUUCUGUGGAUGUGUUGGACGAUGUCGUGGGAUGGUCGAAGCAGUAGAUCCAGCGACUUGUUUCUUCCUGAUAUAAGCCACUUGGUUAUGUCAGCGCUUGUGUCUUGCACCGAGUCUGGAGCUAGUUUGGAUGUUUGGGAUUCUGAUGUUUUCGGAUUGGAGCUCGAGCUUCCUGUCGGGAAAUUCCUGACGUGGGCAUUGACGACGAUUCCAAGCCUCACUGAGUGUCUAUCUCACUUCUGCAACGCGAGGCUUCAGCAUUGUUUAAAUGCAGAGGUACUCUUUCUUUACCUGUUGCUUUUCAUUUAACCGUAUGGUGUUCACUAAAAGUGGAUUACAGGAUGGAUCUGGGCCUUCAAAGUCAGCUGGUGGAGAUGAUUCUGCGUCCAAGACAUGUGAUAACACUCUUCUAACAUGUGGAAGGGCAUGGGCGAUUUCUUUGACGUCCAAGAAUACCUUAAGUGAGGAGAUCUUGAGCUCAUGCUUUCCCUGCAAUGGCGAUGAACCCAAUGAAAAUCUUCUUUACCGGUAUCCCACUGUCCUACUUCUGUGAAGGUUCUGUCUCUAUAGUGUAACUUAACGUGUUCAAUGUUCAUCUGUCUUUCAGCUCAUACCAUCAUGGGAAAGGCAUGAAUCGAUUGUGGGACAACGUUCAAGGGUAUCAUGCUCCUAUACUAUUGCUAGUUUCUGCAAGCGGUGGAGUUGAGCAGGAGGGUAGUUCAAGCGAGAGGAAGUGGGUCAUUGGUGCUAUCUUGCAGCAAGGUUUUCAGAACAGAGAUACAUUUUACGGAAGCUCUGGGAACUUGUUCUCCAUUAGUCCUGUCUUUCACGCAUUCUCAUCUUCAGGUACUGCACACAUCAGAGAAUUUUCGUAGGCGUAGUCAGUUGUUUUGCAUUAGUGUAGUCUUAUAUGGUUUUGUGUUCAACUUCAGGGAAAGAGAAAAACUUUGCAUAUAGCCAUCUUCAUCCCUCUGGUAGAGUCUAUGACGCAAACCCAAAGCCUGUUGGAAUUGGUUUCGGGGGAACACAAGGAAACGAGAGAAUCUUCAUCGACGAAGACUUUGCUAAGAUCACAAUCCGUCAUCAUGCAGUUGAUAAAACUUACCAGCCUGGCUCUCUCUUCCCAAACCAGGUAACGCAAGUGCUGGUCUAUAUAUAUGAUUCAAGUUUUGUGGUCUUGGAUAUUUAUAACAUCUGUUGUUGCAGGGUUAUUUACCAGUAGAGGCUUUGGUGUCAGAUGUUGAAGCAUGGGCAUUAGGUGGAAAAGCAGCUAAGGAAGUUCAAGAAGCAUACAAGAAAAGAGAAGAGCUUUUCACUGACCAACGUCGAAAGGUAAGAAAAGAUCAAUAAGAUCUAUUUAUGCAAAUGCACAAAAGGACUUGCAAGUUUGACAAGUUGUUAUAUGUAUCUACAGAUUGAUUUGAAGACGUUUACGAAUUGGGAAGAUUCACCUGAGAAAAUGAUGAUGGAUAUGAUGGGGAAUCCUAAUGCUCCGGCUAGAGAAGAGAGGUAAUGAGUGAGGGGAGCAAGACUUGUUUGGUAUAUUUAUGCACAUACGUUUUCUCAAUAGAGGUUUCGUCUGUAAAGUAUAUAUUUGAAGAAACUCAUUUGCUGUUUGCGUAAGUUAUGUUUACUAUUAUCGUUGCCAAAACUCGAACCAGAGUGUUGAGUUUGAGAUUUACCCAAUAAAAAAGAGUUUUAUUUGAAGAGUUUUAUAGACGUUACAAUGAAUCAACAAGUAGAUAAUUGUGGUUUUAAGUUUCAACUAAGCAACUCUUUUCGUGUGAAAUGGUUUCCAGAGCUCUCUGCUUUCUGCUGAGAAUCAUCUCCAUCACUUUAUUCAUAGACUUGAUCUCCUCCUCUGCCUUCUUUAUCUUUCUUUCCUCCGACUCUUAUCUUCUUUCUUCUUUCUUCUUACCAAAACCAUUUUACUCUUUUCUUCAUCUCUUGCCUCACAGAUCCUACAACAAAGAAGGCCAUACCAAAACUUGGUUUUCUCUAAACCGAAUCAAUUUUAGUUAUAGUUCGGUUCAUCCUAACCCAAAAAAAAAACUAAAUGGCUUAAAAAUCGGUUAGACCUGAAUCUGGUUGCGUAAGCCUUUGGUAGAAGGUGAUGAACUUCAUAGAGAAGCUGUACAAGGGGGAUUAAAAUACUUGGUUUCUCUCCCAUUCAAGUUCCCUUACCUUUCUCUCACAUUCUUCUCUAUCCAUUCUCUAUCCAUUGUUCCUGUGUUAUUGUUAUUUUCUGGCCAUCUCAACCACCUAUGUAACUUCCCCAUCUGUUCUAGAGAAAUAGACCGAUGUAACUUCCCCAUCUGUUGAGUGGUACGGUAUUGUGCUCAAAGUCCCCUUGAAUACUAAAUUGGAAAUGUUGCUGUUGCUACGGUUUUGACGAUAGAAUAUAACUCAUAUGACAGGUUGGAAACUGAAUUAUUUUCUUUCAAACCAUGUCUUCAAAUCGAUCACAUUAGUUUUGGUUUUGCUUUUUGUUUCAAUGUUAAAUCAAUGUCCAUAAAAUUGGUUUUGUUCUUUUAUACUCUCACUAAAAAUAGCAGCAUUCUUAUUAAUAGAUGUAUACAUUGUGACAAAACUCAAUUCUAGUUAAUACAUCCUCUAUUUUUGAUGAAAAAUAUAAGUUAGAGAUGCUCUUACACAUUGAAUCCACAAGCUAAUGACCAACAAACUAGUUUAUUCAAAGUGCAUAAUUUACUAGCAAAACCUCCAUUAAAAACAGUGCUUGACAAACAUGAAUUCUCUCUUUCAAGCUCAAGAACAACGCUUAAACAAUAUAUGUAUCAGGUAGGAUUCAAAAGCUCUAAUCCGAAACAUGAAACAGAGUAUCACAAGGACAUGCAUAGGUAUUCAAAGCCUUAUCUGCUAUACUUCCUUUUAUCUGCUUUAAGUUUAUCCCUAAAAUCACACCAGUAUGUUGGCUCAUCUUGCAAAACAAGCCUCACCAGCUUCUUAUUGAGAAAAUGAAGACAUGAAUUAAACUUCAUGGUUUCUGAUCAAAAGUUGACAUCAAGAAAGAAACAAUACAAAUCUAUAUGUCCCAACCUGAAACCCAAAGCUUGAGACACAUAUCAAGAGUUAUACAUACCCAAAACUGAACAAGAGUAAACCCAAAUCAAGCGAGCAAGCAUAUCAUUGCUUCUUGUCUUCUGCUUUCCUCGGCUGCAAAAAAACAACAAACCAAACCAACACACACAAAGAUCAGUUCUCUCUUCCUCUCACAAUGAUAAAAUGUGUGAAAAGACAAACGGACCUUAACACCAGGAGCUUCUUGGUGAAUCUCUUCCUCAGGGAUGAUGACAGGCCACUGCUCCCCGGCUUCACGGAACAUCUGCUCCGUCUCGAGAUACUGCCCUUUAUCAAGAAUCAUCUUCCUGAUCGACUGAGCCGACGUGGCAGCCGCAUCGAAAGCUUCCUCGACACCAUUGACGAAAGUGACACUGAUCUGCGGUGGCUGAUCGUCGGUUCUGCGUUUCACCAGAACCUGACAGUUAGGGUUGGACUCUUUGGCCUUCCUCGCGUUGCACUGAGCCAAGAACUCGACGCAGGAGGCGAGUCUUGGGUCCAAUGUGUUGAACUCGAUCUUUACUUUUGAUAGGAACUUCAACAUCCUCUUCUCAAACCUAAAACAGUCAUUGAUAACAAAUCGUGAAGCGAGAUCUGAAGAUGAUUUCUACCAAAAUCUGAUAACCCAAUGAAAUUAAUAAGUAUACGAAAUUAAAUUGUGGGUUGAGAAGGAGAUCUCUGACUUACACAGGUCGACGGGGGCUCUCCGGCGAGAAUUGAUUUUAAGGGGAAAAUGCAGAAGAAACCGAUGCAGGUGGAAGGAAGACUGAAGAAAAGGGUUUUGGGCUUUCGACUGUGUAAAAGGACGAUAGUACCCUUAAUAUUUAUUCCCCUUUGCUUCGGUUUGGUUCGUUUUUCUGAUAGAGCCGCAGAGAAUUUUUGCAAUAAGGAUAGAUAACUAUUUUGAUUUUCUUGUAAUUGCAUUAACUUGAACUGAAGUACAAUGUUACAACGCUUAGGAAUCUAAAACAAAGCCCGAGAGAAAUAUGGGAGACACACUGCCGGCAAAGACACACCUUUCCAGAACCAUGACACUAAACAAGAGAAAUAAAGAAACUACAACAACAUAGACAACAAGAUUUUCAUCUAAAAACUUCAAUCUUUCCAUCAACACUGAUGAUAGGACCACGGCAAACCAACAUUGAAGAAAGGGAGAUAGCAAACCCCAACAGAAGUGUUAAAAACACCAGAUAAAGCACCAUUGGAAUAAAGGAUAAGGUGAUCUCUUGCUUAACCCUUGUCCCAAGGUAAUCAGAGACCCGGCGAAGCCACAAGUUCAAUACACCAUCCUACAAACAACUGUUGGAGACAACCACUCAACAAACCCAAACACUGGAAAGAGCAUGACACCUCAAAGAAACUACAAACCCCACUUCACAACCGGCAAGCGCAAAGAAGUAACCAGAACACGAACAACGCUCUGUAGCACCGGAAAAAAAAAACUGAUUUGGAGGAAGAAACAAAGCUAAUAUUGGAGCCACAAAGGAGACGACUCCCUUCCUACAGUUUCAUAAUGAAACACACCCGACAGGAAUCUGAACUUAUCAAGAAGAGGUUAGCAGCACAAAGGCAUUGCCCUCACUAGACGCCAAGAAACCCCAACCCGCAUGCGAGAACCGAGGAGAGGCCAGACCAGAACCCAACAACAUCAGAAGACUGCAUACCACCACACGAUCAGAGAACCGACGCAAAGACCAUCGAAAAGCAAACUCCACCAGAUCUACUACCACCCACAAAGAAAUAGGGAUGGCAAUAAAUAAUCUGGACCGCGGGCCUGACCCAUAAAGACUUACUGCGGGGCGGAAUCGGGCCACCUUGGUAAGCCCGCAAAAUAUAUAUGUAUUUUUUUUUUGAUAAAUGGUCAUGAAAACACACGAAGACAUUACAAAAUGAAGAUGCGAGUAUAAAUUAUACUAUCGUGAAAUUACAUCGCAGCUAUGAAUAUUACAUUUAUGUAACUUUAAAAUUUUAAAUUAUAUAUCUUCUUUGAAACGUUUGUCAUUUUUCUAUUAAUUUGGAGUAUUUCAGACCUGUGAAAAUCAUAAAUUUUAUCUUCUGUUUGGAUAUUUAAAUAAUCUGUAAAGCAUAAUUUCAUAUUAAUCUGUAAAGUAUAAUUUCAUAUCUACAAAAUCCUCUUGUAACCAACUAAACUAGAGAAGAAUUUAACAAAUAGUUGGCCCUUUAAAUACUUUAAUUAUCUAAGCCCCCAAGCACAUGCUUUACUUGCUUCCAUUCAGAGCAUCUAAAAAAAACUCUAUUUUGAAGUUUCUAAAACUCUAUAUUUGAAGUUUUAAGGUGUUUUUCUCCAAAAGCAAAACUUCAAACUUAACUUCAAAGCUAUUUGUAUUUUAUAAUAUGGUCCUAAUUUAAAUUCAUAAAACUUUUGUAUAUAACUAGCACAUAUGUAAACAUAUUACAAUAAUAUUAAUUAAUGAAAUAUUAUAUUAAAAUAUAAAAAUUUAAACAAAAUAACUUAACUAAUAUUAAACUUCAAGCAAAAUACCAUAUUAUUCCAUAAAGUGAUUUUCGUAGUGCAUAUAUGAUCUACUAGUGCAUUUUGAAUUAAAAAUAGUUUUCCUCAUUUUUAAUUUGUAGAUUAUAGAUAAUAAAUGUUGAAAUCGGGAGAUAUUAAUACUUGUAAAUACAUUAGAUCAGAACAAGAAAGUAAAAGACAAACAUAAAAUAUUUCUAAAAGACUAACUUUUAUCGAUGAUAUUAAUACUCGUGAAUAUAUUCAAUAUGAACAAGAAAGAAUUGUACGAAAAGAUAUCAUCAACAAAAACAACAACCAUCUUCAAUUACACCAAAAAACUAGACAAUAUUUGAAAUUUUGAAGGUUCCAGAUCAAACUUACCUAACUAUUAGUGUUAUUGUAUUAUUCAAAUUUGUGUAAUAGUUAUGUCUUUAUAUAAUUUUUUAAAAGUUUUUUUGUUAAGUUUCUUUUGUAUAUUUCUGUUAUAUAAAUCUAGUUUUAAAUAUUUUAAAUAUUCUUUUAACAAAAUACAAAUAAAAAUAUGAAACUUCAAAUUUGAAGUUUUGAGUAGUGAAACUUCAAAUAUAGAGUUUCACCUCUCAAAACUUCAAAUUUGAAGUUUUGAAGUUCAUUUUUAGAAAGUAAAAAGCUUUAUAUUUGAAGUUAUAGAGUGUCUUUUGUAGAUGAGCAUGGCUCUAUGUCUACUACUAUACUAUGUGAUUGUAAUUGGUUUAAGAUAUUUAAAGGUGUAUAGUGAUUCAGUUAUUGUUUAUGUAUUUAGGCAGUGCUGAAAAAUUAAUUCACGCAUGUUCAAUUUGAUGUUAGCAUUUUAAAAUCAGGUCGUAUGAAAGCAAGAUGAUCACCUAGACAAUUUUGAGUUUGACAUAACAAUAUAAUAUUUGAUAAAAUCUUUCAAACUUUGUUAAUAUGCUCACAAGUCAUAGUAUUACUAUUUGGUUGGUGGCCUAACACAUGUCUUUCGUCAUUGUGAAUAACAGUAAACAAAAUUGGUUUCUCACUUCUCUAGUUUCAAGAUAAAAUAUAGUAAUAAAUUUAAUGUUCUGGGUGGUAAAUUAUGAAAAAGAAGCAUCUCAUUAUAGAAACCUUUUUGGGUUAAGUAAAUGUUAUAAUCAUUCAAAAUUAGUUAUAAACUAGUAGAUUGCUGUCCAAAAAAAAGACUAGAUUAGGUCUAAGCAUUGCACAAGACAAAUGUAUUUAUUAUAUUAUUUAACUAACAAAUCUAUUAAAAUGCUAAUUCUACAUUGCAAAAUAAAUUGACUUCAUUAUUUUUUACAAAAAAUGUAACAAGAAUCUUCAUAUCUCACACGAACACAUGAAUUACAAGUCUACAACAGAUAUUACACCUCAGAAAUUCCAAAAGCAACCCGAUUCUCCCAUACCGGCUAAAGCGGAGGGGUCAGUACCAGUACCGGGGAACUGGGUUUCGUGACUGUUAAGCAACAGUUUCAUUAGCGAAUCAUUGUCUGUUAGAAACAGAGGAUCAGGGUAAAACAGAGGACCAGAACCGUCUUUGGACUCGAGAUGAAUGAGUCUUUUAUCUUCGGUUUCUUGGUCGGAGAAGCAGGUCACGUGAGUAGACGAACCAGGGAAGGAAUCUCGUUGAGAAGAAUCCAUCAACGAAGGUAAUCCGACCGGUUCAAUCCGGUUAACGUGUGAAUCAAGCAACAUUAAAUGGGACAUAUCAACCUUUGUACCAUCGGCACGUUUAUGGAAAACACGGCAAAUAACCCAAUCGUUCUACAUUCACACACAACAAAACAGAACACAAAAUAUCAAUUCAAUUCCACACAAAAAAAGACAAAAAAUGUCUUUGAUGUUAUUGUUACCUUAGCUGUCUGGGAGAGAUGUUGGAUAGAAUAUAUGCCUUCUAAUCGAUAUUCAUGCAUAACCCAAUUGGUUCUUACUCCUUUAGGAGCUCUUCCUUUGUAGAAAACCAGAGUCUUCUUCAUACCCACAAGUGAUUUCCCCUUGAAAAUCUCUUUAUCUUUGCCUGUGGCUUUCCAGUAACCGGCUUCAGUUGCCCGGUUUGUCCUUAAACCGGUUGGGUAUUUCCGGUCUCGCACACAAAAGAAAUACCAUUCUUUCUCCCCUAUCUUAGCUUUCCCUAUUUCACCAAAAGCCAUCACAUAUAUAUUUGUGAGUAAUAAUAAAUUACAGAACAAUAAUAACUAACAUAAAAAAGUUUAAAAAAGGUGGAAAAAGUUUAGAAAAGGCAUGAUACUUCAUGCAGUCUCAAACCAUUUGUAAAGUUUUGUGGAAUCAUGUAUAUUAAACAUAUAUAUUAUUUUUUUUUAACUUCAGAUAUAUAAAUUCAUAUUUACAGCUUUUGUUAUAGUACAAACGUUUUUUAAUUGCUGGAAAGGUUGUACACUUACUUGGUAACUCCCAAGGCUCGAUCUUGUUGAGAUCAACUUCACCAAUGGCGGUGGCAGAGAAGAAAGUGUUGAAGACCUUUUGUUUGAGAUAGUGAGUUAUGAGUUCUUCAUCAGUAGGGUGAAAUCUGAAUCCAGGUGGCAGAUCAAUUUGCUCUUCAUCUUCUACUAUUUCACCGAUUCUUGAUGCAUCGUAAUCCAUUUAUCCUAAUAAAGUUUAUUAGAAACAAUCAAAGUUAUGUAAGAGAGAAGAGAAGGGUUUUUGAAGAGAUGAAUAAAAGGGUUUUGAAGAGAGAGAGUGUGUUUUUUAAGAGAGAAGAGGAAAGGGUUUGAGCAACGAAGCUCCUCUCUAUAUACUAGUUUUCCAUCAGAGAAAUAAGGAAAUAAUAUUAUUAUUGUUGAUAUUGACCAAUAAUUGGUCAAUCUUUUGUGUAUCAAGUUCUUCUUUCAAAGUUUCAAACUAUGAGUUGUAUUGAAUUUCAAGAGUUUUUACCUACUAUAAAGAAAACUUUUAUCUUCGCUCUAAAUGAUUUAUUGUAUAUAAAUGGGUUUUCCGAUUUAAAUCUCGUACAGCCAUCAAAUCAUAUUAUAAAUCAGAAAAUGGGUGUACACACACAUUAACACAUACUAUAGUUAGUUUUCUUAGUAUGAUAGAGAAAGAGGAAGAUGCGUCGAUUGUUAGGCAACUUAAGAUGUGUAAUAUUCAAUAAUCAUUUCUCAUCAUUAAAAAUAAACCUUUCUAUUUCAAGAACUUUAAUAUUUCCAAGUUUCAAUUUGACCAGGAACACUUCACCUGUGGCUCCCUGUCCCUUUUUUGGUUAAUGUGAUAAGAACAAUCUUAUCACAUUAAAUCCUGAUGUUUUGUCCAUUCUUGAAACUAAUUAUUAGUUGCUGGAAAAAGAAUAUCAGUAGAAAACUAUGAUUAUUGGUUUGAAAACAUUUUACAUUGAAACUAUAUGAUUAUAUAAUUGAAACAUUAUAAAUUACCGCGGGUCACUAUUAUUGGUGUUGUGAUUCAGGAUAACUAUGAGAAAAGAGUUUACCAUGGUUGGAUAUAAUUUGUUUUAUUUACUUAACAAGUGUUAUCCCUCUCAUGAAAAGAUUAUGCAUGCAUGAACCUUGGAAAGUAGAUUCUUUAGUAUUAAAGGAACUCUUUUCUUUGUCCUAUUACAGUGCCUACCGUUAUAAGAAAUUAUAAUACUAGUAUGCAAGAUUUUUUAAAAAAGUUCAGUGAAAAAUUGGAAAGAAAAACGAUUUCCUUGUGAAGAUGGGUAAUGAUGAUGAAUGGAUGAGGAUUGUGAUGAUGAAAAUCUGUUAGAAUGUGAAGACAUUUUGAACAACCUCAACCUUAUCAUAUGUGAAUUAUUUGAUUUUUUUAAUGAUCGAAUCACGCGUUUGUGCAUACGAGGUUGUCAUUUGUCACUUCUACAACAUGUGCAUUUUAUUCUUUUCUAGCCAAAUUUCUUCCUCAGUAUUUUUAUUAUACUUGCUGUUUAAAUCCUUAUAUAAUCGAUGUAUUGGUAUUUUUAAUCAACUAUAGUUAUCAUAAAUUGGAAUUUGGAUCGAUACUGGAUAUAUAAUUUAUAUCUUUCUAUUGCACUCUUUUCUUUUCAACUAAUUUCCCAGACUCAAAAGAGAAAAGAUACAUAAGUUGCCAGAAAAAAAAUCAAUGUAUGUUUCACACUAAAAGAGCUAAUGACAAAAUUCAUAGUACAACAAAAAGAAUAUCAAUUCUAGAAGGCCAUAAAGCAACACUCAAGUGAUUGAUGGAACACGUGGAUUUUUCAAAUUAUGUUCCUUCUUCUCAAAAACCCGUUUAAGUUUCCUUGCCUUUUUGACCAAAUUCCCCAAUCUAUCAUUUGUCAAGUUGCUCCUCCAAAAAAUUGCUUAUACUCUUUUUAACAGAGAUGAGUAGGGUUACAUAGACAAAUUGGUUAUAUAUAUUAGGGGUGGGCAAAAAACCCAAACCGAACCGAACCGAACCAACCAAACCGAAGUUAAACCGAACCAAACCAAACCGUGCUCUUUAUGUAACCCAAUUGGUUCAUGUUUUACUCAACCCGAACGGUUUGGUUUGGUUUGGGUUUAAACCGAACCAAACCGAACCAAACCGAUAAUCCAAUAUAUAUAUAGUAAAAAUAUAUAUGAUAUAUAUAUAUGUAUUAACAUAUUGCAAAUUUUAGUUAAAGUUUCGUUUUUCAUUUUUUCAUAACUUCCAUAUCUUUAAAAAAAAUUAUAAAUACGAUUCAAAUAAUACUAUUAUAUAUAAAAUCAUGUAGCAUAAGUUUUUAUAUUCUCACUCUAUCGUUUAUGAGUUGAUUAUUUUUUAAUAAAAGUAUAAAACUAAUGCCUUCAUAUUUUAUAACCAACCCAAACUACACCGAACCAAACUAGACCAUAAUAAUGUAAACCAAACUAAAUCUAAACCAAACCGAACUGAACCGAACCGAAUUAAACCCAAACCGAACCCAACCCAAAGCUACUUUGGUUUUAAUUGGUUUGAGUUUUAUAAAACCCAAAUUACCCAAACCAAACCGAACCCAAACCGAACCCGAAACUAAACCGAAAUGCCCACCCCUAAUAUAUAUAGGGGUUAUUUGUGAAAUAACCAAAAAAGAGUAAUUAGUAUUUUUUAAUGAGAGGUUAGAAAGAAAUAGGAAGAGAAAUGAGGAAAGAGAUGGUUGUUUUGGUUAGAAAAUGAAUUUGAGGUUUUUAUGUAUAUAGGGACAUAUUUCCCUUAUAUACUUUUUGUUUUCAAAAACAAAAACCAAUAUAACUACCGCAUCAUUAUUUUUCAGUUUGUUACUGUGAAUGUUUUUGAUUUGAACGCCAUUGACUAGAUCAUGUCCAACUUCUUCAUGACCAUUAUUCCACUAUCUCUUUAUCAUGGCCUAAAACCUCGCGCAUUCAUAUCAAAAAUCUCAUUAGAAUCGAAUUGGAGAGUUUUCAAAACUCUAAUGCUUCUCCAUAUCAAACAUCUCAUUAAAAUCGCCAAAUAUUAUUCACUACUUCUUAGUUCUUACCUAUUAUGGGAGAGUUGUGAUGAUCCAUCAGUUCCCCAUAUAGAACUUCUACCGUUAUCGCUCUUCCUCGAAGUUAGAAGCGUAAAGUGUUUUAUGAUAAAAAGACAGAAAGGAAAUGGGAUGGCAAGAAACUUAUAGAAUUUUUGUUAUGAUCUAUAAUACAAUUAUUAUUACUUCGAUUUGUUUGAUUAUUUUUUACUCGUGGUUCUUUUACUAAUUGAUUAGUUAAGUUUGGCUACACUUGUUGUCUUAUAAGAUUGAUAUCGUAGAAAAGUGAGAAGCUUACAAAUCAGUUUGACGUUUUUGAUUGGGACUCGGAUAUAGUGGAUUCAGAGGAAGUGGAUGAAGAUUUCAUUGUCGACCUAAUGACUCUAUCAACUAGCAGACUUCUUUAGGAUAGGUUGGUGGCAAUUUCUGAAAUGCAACAGAGAUGAAUGCUACUUUAAGCUCAACUCAACUAAGGCAAAAGGAAGUCGAAUACAUAGGAAACAUGGUUGACGUGGUGGGUUUGGCUAACCUCACUAUGGUGACCAUGGAUAUCCUCUAGAUAGUUUUAGCUCUUGCCCGUUUCACUUUUAAGCAUUCAAGUUGCUUACUUGUUGCUUGUAAAACCUUUUCUAAAUUGCAACUGUUGGCUUUACUGUUGGCUUAAUAUAUAUGUACAAUGAGAAGGUCUAUUAAUAUUCAAUGGUGUGAGUUCUUCUACACACAUUUUCUUAGUGUGAGCCCGUCCCGUGCAUCAUAAACGUAGACCUCAUGUCGAAGUAGAACAUUCAAUUAUUUUUAUGAGAUGAGAGCAUAUAUCUACUACGAACAAAAUGCAUAUUAUUUUACUAAACAAUUGGGACGAAGAUAAUUUGUAUUAUUCGUUCCAAGUCCAACUGAGACAUUUUUUGCCAAUCAAUACAUUAUAUUAAAAUCUUCAAAUGAAGAUGAUGCAUACAAUACAAAAUUGAAAAGAUAAAUGGAAUGAUAAAAAGUUAGAAAAGAAAAGUAUAAGCCUAACAUCCAUGAGUCUCUAGCCUACUUCAAUUCUUGAAUGGAGCUAAACCAGACUUUCCAGUGGUAAAUAAAACUGAAACGUUCUUCUCGAUUAAUUGAGAUAUGUUGGCUAUUAACAAUGAUGAGUUCAUUUGCUAAGAACUUUAUGCUAUUUUUUUUUUAAUCAAAAUUUCUAAAGCUAAUCCUUUUUUCUAACACCUUUCUAAAGCUAAUCAAUCGUUUCCUUUUGUUUUAGGCUUUUAGCAGUUCUUUCCUUUUCAGGAAAUAUAAACUAAAUUCUAUAAAUCUUUUGCUACUUGGUGGUGCCAAAACCACGUGUCGCUUGAUUUUUUGAAACGGCAAGAGUUUCAUACGUAUCGCCAACCCCAACCUUCUCUUGGACACGACACAAGUAAGACGAAUUCCAAAAUAGACACGUGUUUGGAUACAAAUGGGAGUUAAUAAGUAUCAAACGCUAUUCUUAAUUAUCGUAAUUCAGUUGCUGAAAAGAACUGAUUUAGCUAAUUAAGUGGAAUUUCACUAAUUAAAGUUUGACCAGCUUCCUGAUUCGAAACAUGAGUUGCCAGUGGGAACAAACACGACUCAAAACUCCGUUACCAUGAUUCUGUGCAAGACCCAAUGGAGGAAAUGAUGGAUGCAGACUCUUCAGGAUGAUUGCAUGAACUUUGACUGACGUAGAAGUCCGGUCCACAGAGAUCCUAAGAGUUUUAAAUGUUGUUUCGAUGAGUAAUGCAUAACACUAUUAAUUAGUUUCCAAAAUUGGACUGGUUAAGGUAUUCUCAAGAUGAGUUAUAUUGGGUGCUAGUAUUGUAUAUAGGUUUAUUCAGUACGCUAUAUCUUUUUGUGGCGAUGUUUUGUCCUGAGAGAUUCUUUUAUCACUACAAGAAAACAGCUUGUUUCCUACAGACGAUUUAGUCGAAAUAAGCCAUUUCUGAUGAAUUUCGUUGGUUCUAUCUCGUCGAAAAAAAAACGUUUGAAUUUCGUCGGAUUUCUGACGCAUUUCCGACGGACAAAUUUCCGACGAAAUACCGACGAAUAAAUUUCCGACAAAAUACCAACGGAUAAAUUUCUGACGAAAUUCUGACAAAUCUUAUCCGUCGAAACUUUUGUAAACUAUUUUUAAAAUAAAAUAAAUUUUAUUUUAAAUAUAAUAUUUAAUGAAUUACGUAUAACAAAUUUUAAAAAUCAUUUAUAAUAAAUAUUUUUAAUUCUUUAUAUAUAAAUAAAAUAAAAUUUAAAAUUAGGAAAACGUUUUAACUAAAUCUUUUUUGUAAUUGAACCCAUUUCCUAGAAAUUAAAAACAUUUUAAUUAAAUCUAAAAAAAAACAAAAACUUUUUAUAGAUUGAAAAGGUUUAAAAAAAUGUGAAAAACGUUUUGAUAAUCUUUAGUAACCAGAAAAUGUUUUAUAAAUUAUAACAAACAAUAAAAACUUUUUAUAAGAACUUAAAUUUUUUUUUUUGAUGAAUUUUUUUUUUAAAGUUUAAAACGUUUUAUAAAAUCAUAAAAACGUUUUAAAACAACAAUAAUAAUAAAAACUUGAAAAUGUUAUAUAUAUAUUUAUUUAUUCUAAUAAAACUCCAAAAAUGUUUUAAAAUUUGAAAAAACAUUUUAUAAAUAACAAAAAAAAGAUUCACAAAACAACAAAUUAAAUAAACAAACUACAAAAUCACAAGCAAAACCUAUCUAAACCACAACAUAACAACAAAAUCUAACAUCUAAUUCAUAAUAUUCUUCAUCCUAACAUAAAUCCAACAUUCAAAACCUUAAAUUCACAAUUUCACAAUCAAAAAGUAACAUAAGUCAAAUGAGAAAAGGAAAGAGAUGACUUACAUAAUUUGUGAGGUGGAUUUGAGGAGUUUGAGCUUAGAAUCGUUGGAUUAGAGAGAGAGAAUCAAAGAGAAUUUGUGUAUGUUUAGAGAGAGAGAGAGGAGAAGUGAGGAAGAAGAAGGGGCUUGCGCUUUUAUAUUAAAAAUUUCUGACGGAUUGGAUUCAUCAGAAAUCCGUCAAAAUUUUUUAUUUUGACGUUUCACGAAAAAUUAGGCAGGGUUUUUCGGGGCAAAUUUCAAUUUCCGACGAAUAUACCAUUUUCGUCGGAAAUUCGCCGGAAUAUAUCAUUGUCGUCGGAAUUCGACAGAAAUAUAUUUGUCAGAAAUUUCCUACGAAUUUUGAACGAAUUAUAAUAGCCAUCGAUAAUAAAUUGAUGACUUUUAGGGUUUAAAAUCUUCAUAAUGUUUAGAAACACUUGAAAACACACAAACUAAAGAUUGCAAGAUGGAUCACCGAAAAGUAUUUGCUUAAGUGUAUAAGUGUUAACGAGAAAUAUUAGGUAUCCGUCCAUGCAUCAAUCGCAAGAAUAUAUAUAUAGCUUAAAUAAUUGAGGCAAUAUUAAUCUACAUCAUAUUUAUCACUUAAUAUAUCCGGAUGAACAUUUAUUUUGAAUAUUUCAUAUCUAAACUCAUGGUCGUCGAAAAUUCGUUGGAAAUUUGUGUCGAAUAUGCUACGAAAAUUUCGCAAUCCAUCAGAAUUUCGUCGGCAAUUUUCUAGGAAGAAAUUUGUCAAAAUUUCGUCGGACAUUUCUGACGAAUUUCCUACAGAAAUUUUUCAUUUCGUCGGAAAUCCGUCAGAAAUUUCUGAUGAAUUUCCGACGAAAACAUAAACCCCAAAUCUAUACCCUAAAUCGUGUAAUCUUCCUUGGGAGUCGUCGGUAUUUUGUCGCUUAUUUUUGAUGAAAGAAAGUUCGUCGGAAAUUCCUAAGAUAUUUCCGACAAAUGGUAAAAUUUUAUAUUUCUCGAAAUCCGUCAGAAAUUUCUCAGAAAUUUCCGACGAAUAUUUCUUCCGUCAGAAAAUGAAUAUGUUUUCUUGUAGUGUAUUGCACAUGGCCAUUUGCUAAUAAUCCAGUUUUAUGGAAUGGAUCUUGUGUGUUCACGAGGUUCAUGUGGCAGUCUUUUUCAACGAUUGGGACUUGGCUUUGUUUUAACUAGUUUUUCUAGGUGUUCCGGAUUAAUGAAAAUUCUAAGUUGGAAUUGCAGAGGACUCAGGAGUAAAUGGAUUAUUAGUUAUUUGAGAGAAAUUAGGGGGAAAUAUAAACCAGCGUUUCUAUUUUUAUCGGAAACCAAACAGCAAUUUGAUUUUGUGCAGUCUUUUUAAUUUCAUUUUGGAUAUUCUCAUCUCCAUACGGUUGAUCUUAUAGGGAGGAGUGGUGGGCUGGCUCUAUUUUAUGAUUCCACUUAUAAGGUAUAUAAACUCUUCAAGCAACAUAAUUAUAGACGUCGAGACAAAAUAUAACGGAAAAUGAAUUUUUAUUUCACUUGUUUAUGGCGAGUCAAAUCAAAAUUUUAGAGACCAGAUUUGGGAGAGGCUUACAAUAGGGAUCUUGAGGGACGAACCAUGGUUUAUUAUUGGAGACUUAAAUGAGAUUACGGGUAAUCAUGAGAAACAAGGAGGAGUUCUUAGACACGCAGAUACGUUUUUACAAUUCAAUAAUAUGAUAGAGAACUGUGGUCUGAUGGAGUUUCCAAGUCUUGGUAAUACUCUUUCUUGGAACGGAAGAAGAGCUGGACAUGUGUUAAGUGUCAACUGGAUAGGGCAUUGGCAAACAAUGAAUGGCAUAAUCUGUUUCCUUGCUCUUUUGUUGAAUACUUGGGUAUGAUUGCCUCUGAUCACAGGCCGAUUGUGGCAUCAAUAGAGGAUAAAGUACUAAACUUUUGACGGUAAUUUAGAUUUGAUAAAAGAUGGAUAGGUGAGGAUGGACUGAUGGAAUCUAUUGAACGUGGAUGGUCCACUCAGAGGGGUGGACGCCGCAUGGGUAUAGUAGAUAAAAUUCAUAAUUGUUGACAUGAAAUUUCUGUUUGGAAAAAGGAAAAUCCACCUUAUGGGAAGGAAAAAAUAAAUACUCUUCAGAGGGCUCUGGAGGAUGAUCAAAGCGAUUUGACAAAAUCUCUUGAAGUAGUGAUUGAGGUGUCCAGGAAACUAAAAGAGGCAUAUCGAGAUGAAAAAUUAUAGUGGGAACAGAAGAGUAGAACUUUGUGGCAUACAUGUGGAGAUAGAAAUACUAAAGUAUAUCAUGCUUUAACCAAACAAAGACGCAUACAAAACAUGAUUAUUGGUUUAUAUAACGAGGAUGGGGAUUGGAUUAAUUCAGAAGGUGAUAUGGAAAGUGUGUCGCUUAAAUAUUUCAAUGAUCUGUUCCAGUCUACCCCGCCUUCAGAGUUUGAUAGGUUUCUAGAGGAAGUUCCAACUUGGUAACAACUGCUCAAAAUAAUAGACUAACGGCUCAUGCUUCAAAGGAGGAAGUUAGGACGUCAUUAUUUAUGAUGCACCCGGAGAAAG
rnacentral:lncRNA from 1 species